rnacentral:rRNA from 1 species
AAUAGAUACCCGGGUAGUCCACGCCGUAAACGAUGAGUGCUAAGUGUUAGAGGGUUUCCGCCCUUUAGUGCUGCAGCUAACGCAUUAAGCACUCCGCCUGGGGAGUACGGCCGCAAGGCUGAAACUCAAAGGAAUUGACGGGGGCCCGCACAAGCGGUGGAGCAUGUGGUUUAAUUCGAAGCAACGCGAAGAACCUUACCAGGUCUUGACAUCCUCUGCCAACCCUAGAGAUAGGGCGUUCCCCUUCGGGGGACAGAGUGACAGGUGGUGCAUGGUUGUCGUCAGCUCGUGUCGUGAGAUGUUGGGUUAAGUCCCGCAACGAGCGCAACCCUUGAUCUUAGUUGCCAGCAUUCAGUUGGGCACUCUAAGGUGACUGCCGGUGACAAACCGGAGGAAGGUGGGGAUGACGUCAAAUCAUCAUGCCCCUUAUGACCUGGGCUACACACGUGCUACAAUGAAUGGUACAAAGAGCUGCGAACCCGCGAGGGUAAGCGAAUCUCAUAAAGCCAUUCUCAGUUCGGA